rnacentral:rRNA from 1 species
AAUCUUCUGCAAUGGUCGAAAGUCUAACGGAGCGACGCCGCGUGAGUGAUGAUGGUCUUCGGAUCGUAAAACACUGUUGUUAGGGAAGAACAAGUAUAAGGCGAAGAACCUUAUACCUUGACGGUACCUAACAAGAAAGCCCCGGCUAACUCCGUACCAGCAGCCGCGGUAAUACGUAGGGGGCGAGCGUUGUCCGGAAUUAUUGGGCGUAAAGGGUGCGUAGGCGGUCUCUUAAGUCUGAUGUGAAAGCCCACGGCUUAACCGGGGAGGGUCAUUGGAAACUGGGAGACUUGAGUGCAGAAGAGGAGAGUGGAAUUCCAUGUGUAGCGGUGAAAUGCGUAGAGAUAUGGAGGAACACCAGUGGCGAAGGCGACUCUCUGGUCUGUAACUGACGCUGAGGCACGAAAGCGUGGGGAGCAAAC